rnacentral:lncRNA from 1 species
CGAUGAUGAGGAACUUAUGGUUAUGAGUGCCCUUCGUGGCAUGCGAUGUCGCGAAGCCCGGACCUCGACGCUGGAGGCGUGCGGAUUGAGUCGCGGGAGCGAAACGCGUGGGAGGCGAGACGCUUGGCUAUACUCAUAUGGGACAAGUUGGGGAGAACUUGUAAUGUCCUUGGGGCUAGUGACAGAGGCAACAAGGCAUUCGGUUAUGAGGCACUCUCGAGGAGAGAUCGGUUGGCAAGACGGGAUGCACCUAGCUUGGUGGCCAACCUCGGUAUUGGGGUUGCUCGUUGGGAACUCGAGGAGUCCGACGAGGGGUUCGAUUACAGGCG